GACGAACGCUGGCGGCGUGCUUAACACAUGCAAGUCGAGCGGUAAGGCCCUUUCGGGGGUACGACGAGCGGCGAACGGGUGAGUAACACGUGGGUGACCUGCCUUUAGUCUCUGGGAUAAGCCUGGGAAACCGGGUCUAAUACCGGAUAUGACUCCGCGGCGCAUGUUGUGGGGUGGAAAGCCUUGUGCGGCUGGAGAUGGGCCCGCGGCCUAUCAGCUUGUUGGUGGGGUGAUGGCCUACCAAGGCGACGACGGGUAGCCGGCCUGAGAGGGCGACCGGCCACACUGGGACGUGAGACACGGCCCACGACUCCUACGGGAGGGCAGCAGUGGGGAAUAUUGCACAAUGGGCGAAAGCCUGAUGCAGCGACGCCGCGUGAGGGAUGACGGCC
rnacentral:rRNA from 1 species